GGGGACAGGGAUAGCCAGGAGUCAUCAGGCCAGAUCUGCCAACCAGGCUCGGUGGGUGACAGGUAACCGAGUUUUCACCAAGCUCUUCCAUGCCUGGAGAGGCACGCCGGAACUUCUAGAGGCUUGCAGACCUGAAGCAGUUGUCACGCCCUGAUCUGUUUCACCUGUCUUUGUGAUUGUCUCCACCCCCCUCCAGGUGUCUCCUGUUUUCUCCAUUAGUCCCCGGUGUAUUUAUCCCUGUGUUUCCUGUCUCUCUGUGCCAGUUCUUCUUGUUUUGCCAAGUUAACCAGCGUUUCGCCUAGCUCCUAUUUUUCCCAGUCUCUGUUUUUUAUUUUUAUUAGCCCUCCUGGUUUUGACCCUUGCCUGUCCUGAUGCCGACUCCGCCUGCCUGACCACUCUGCCGGUUCUGAUCUCGAGCCUGCCUAUCCCCUUGAAUUUGAACCUGUUCACGGAACUCCUGACCUCGAGCCUGCCUAUCCCCUGGUACUGUUUGGCCUCUGACCUGGUUUAUGAACUCUCGCCUGUCCCCGACCUGCCUUUUGCCUACCCCUUUUGGUAUAAUAAAUAUCGGAGCUCAACCAUCUGCCUCCCGUAUCUGCAUUUGGGUCUCACCUUGUGCCCUUUAUAGCAGUGUGAUGUGGUCCAGGUAAUUAUCACACGUAUACACACUCACUCAAUCACUCUUUGUUGUAUAAUUAUUUUCACUUUGUGCCUCUCUUAGAUCUUACACCCCUAUCAGCUCAACCACAGCCCUCGCAGCUGCAGUCGUCUGCCCCUGUACCUGCUGCACUGGCCGCGACAGGUGAUACAGAUCUGCCACCCCCAGCAGUUCAGCUGCAGUCUCAGCAGUCCUCUGCUGUGGUAUUUAAUGUACCGACUGCAUCAGUUCCUGAUACACUGGUCGAUUUCCAGAUGGAUACAGAUCUGCCGUGCAUUCCAAUGCCCCUGACAGCCUCACCCAGCAGUGCAUACACUGGGCCUGUCAAGAUUGACAAAGCAGUGAUGGGCGGCUGACAAGGAAAAAUAAAACCUUCUCUCUGCUUCUCUUUUACAUUAGUAUUGUUUUAAAAAUGAAUAUGAACAUAUUUUCUUUGAAUUAGUCAAGGUCUGACAACACUGCAUAUUUUUUUAUUUUGACCAGUUGUCAUUUUCUGCAAAUAAAUGCUCUAAAUGACAAUAUUUGGGAGAAAUGUCAGUUUAUAGAAUAAAACUAAAUGUUAAUUUUACCCAAACACAUACCUAUAAAUAGUAAAACCAGAGAAACUGAUAAUUUUGCAGUGGUCUCUUAAUUUUUUUCCAGAGCUGUAGAUAUGUGGACGAAAGAUAUGUAUUCAUUGAAAGCUAAAGCCCACGGAACCAGAUUCUCGAUAUCCUCCUAUAUAGCUGGCUAGCCAGCAGCCUGGAGAGCAGCGCUGUUAUUGAAGUUUUGGUUUUAUGUCGUGCUGUUUGUGUGUAUACUGGACCAUUACUGGAAUUGUUGUAGGAACCGUGAGUCAACAAAGUUAAAAGUGGAAUGCUCUAAUUUGGCAUUUAGUGGUUAACUGUUGGUCUAAAAUGGAACAUAAAGUUGACGUUACCAAAGUUGGCUUGUUCAUCAUGACUGAAUCAUUAAUUACUUUGGUGUGCCAUCUAAUAGCCCUAUUGCUCCCACCACCCUACACUACAACUCCAUACGUCG
rnacentral:lncRNA from 1 species